GUCACAAUCUUACAGGGGAAGGCAACACAUAAAAAGAAGCUGAAAAGUGGGGUGGAGAGGGGGAAGCAUGAUGAAAUCGUGCAGCCAGAUGGAAAGUGAUGUGAUGGCUUCUCUGAGCGCCCUCCUUAGAUAGAGGCUCUGGGACGAGCUCUCCCUAAUGUCCACCCUCCAACUUCUCCGAUCAGGGACACGGAUUGCUGAGGAGGUGUGAGUUUCAGAGCUGAUAGGAUCUUGCAAGAUGAGUUUCUGGAGACCGUGAUGAAAUCCAGGAGAGCAGCCAGUGGGAAAUGACAAGAAGCGUUGCUAACUUAACCUGCAGUUCUCUCCUCAUUAUAGAUGGGUGACUUUCUUGAGAUGGAAGUGUCCAGGGACCAGUGAUACCAGGAGAUCCAUCAAAGCGUCUCUGAAGACCCACUGGUAACAGGAGCAGAUAGCGAACCAAGUGCACUGGAGCUGGAAGCAGCGGCGACCUGGAAGAGAACCAAGAGGAAGGGUCUUCUGGCUUCUCACAGCUGCUUCCACAUCUUCCCUUUGGGGGCAGUCAGCAAUCUCUGCUCCUCUGAGAUUUGUCCCAUGUAAUAAAAGGUGGGCUCCAUGAGAAGAGACUGUUACCCUCCCAAACCACCUUAUAUUUAUUCUGUAUCAACAGAAUAGGCCAGAACCUAACUCAUGGCACCAGAGGGCAAGGGGCGGCAGAAUCAAGUGCUGCAGUGUCUAAAGGCGGAAGAAAUUAACGGAUGCAGUGUUGUUGAGUUCCAGGGCUUUCACUUGCCCAAGUGGCCUACAUAUAAGGGGCAGUGAGAGCAUCCCUUUCCCUCCUCCCUUAUUUCCUUAUCAUCCUACCUGAAAUGAGUGCUUUUAAGUCCAUCCUUCUGGUUGAGGACUCGUAUCUGCAGAAGCUCCUUUAAAUGCAAGUGUGCACCCUGGACGAGUUGACUAUAUUAAGCCAAUAUUAAUCUUUACCAUCUCAGAGUAGACUAAUAUAUCAGAUAAAUUAGCUGCCGCUCAGCAAUGAAAUAGGGCUAUCCACAAGCUAAGCUCAAUGUGAGGAGAGAGAAGGUAGAACACAGGAGGUGUGAUGGGGAAAGUGAGGGACUAAUGACAUGCUGCAGUCAGGAUCCCUAGUCAGGCAGAAGCCACUGGGCACCUAAGAUGGAAUAUAACAGUGGGGAGCUGUGAGCAUCCAGUGGCAGUGGAAGGAGUCCAAAGGCAAAACCCACUGUUCAAAGGCUGAAUUGGGACAAAAUGUGUUCUGUGAGGAAAUUGGUUUUGGUUUUUCCUGGACAUUUGAUUUCAUGGUUUAGGGAACUCCUGGUGUGGAAAUGCCCUCUCCAGUUGUAUUUAGGUUACUUGUCUACAAUGUAAAGUCUUAGAGAGGCUCCUGGGGACAUAGAGAAGUUAAUUGACUUGUCCAGGUUCACCUAGUUAGUAUAUGUCCAAGGCCCAACUUGAACCUAGGUCUUCUUGAUCCAUGAUCCUUUACCCACUAUGUCAUCUUACAUUCAACUAAUGUUUCUUAUUUCCACGGAGGGAAAAAGUUGCCUAGUGAGAUGGAUAAGGCAAGAAAAUCAAUUUCAAAGGACAGAGAGAAUGAUUUAUAUGUGAAAUCUUAAUCAGGAAGGAUAGGUAGCAAAGUGACAUAAAUGUGUGCUGAUAGCCCAGCCCCAGCCUGGAACUGGUCCAGUGGCAUUGGGUCUUUAUUCCUCCCAUUUUGUGGCCCUGGCAUCUUGCUACAAAACAACCAGGACACAGGUUUUCUGGAGCUGAAUGAAGAAGGCAACUCCCUUUACAAAACACAGAGAUGACAGGAAGCGAGUUGAGUAUUUUCAUGUGGAAGAGGAGUCUUUCCUGCAAUAACUAGAGUGAGCAUAGCCUAAGAACAUUUUUGAUGUGAAGAAAAAGAUUCAGAAUGAAUUUGCAAUUUAGGUCUAUGAAAUAAAGCUAGAAUAUGUGUAAACAGUGAGUGGUAACAGUGAGAGGCAUCAAUCUGUACCUGUGUGUUAUAUGUCUUUAAAUCUGGCUCUUUUCUUAAAGGGAUUUGCUCUGUGAAGUUUGGAUUCAGUCAAAGGGCCACACUUUAGGACCUAGAGGGCCACAUAUGACCCUGAGGCCACAGGUUCCCCACCCCUGCCCUAGAUCAUAUGUAUCUUCAUAGUUGGACUUAAAACAUAGUUGGUAUAGAACUCUCUCCCCUAACCUCCACAGAGGUGGAAGCAUCUUCUGGGUGAGGAGGCUUCUGGGGCAUGGUGGCAGAGGCAUCUUCUAGGACAAGAAAGCUGCUGAGGCAUGAUGGAAAAAGAGGACAAGCAACAGGAGUGGAGCCUAAGUCUCCUCCAUCCUGAGAGAAUUCUCACCAGACUCUACCAUCUCCUCAAGCUGUCAUCUGAUAUCUCUCCUCUCUUUCUCAAAUGCCUAGAAAAGGUUGUCUGCACUCAGUGCCCCUACCAGCCCUUGCCUUUUAUAAUUAGACUGUAUACCUCAUCGUGGCUGUUGUUCAGCCUUUGUUCUCAAACAGGACCCGUGACAUCAGGAGGGUGACGUCUUGAGUUGCAAGUGAAUUGGAUUUAAGUGAGGCAGCGCUGU